AUUGAACGCUGGCGGCAGGCCUAACACAUGCAAGUCGAAUGGUAACAGGAAACAGCUUGCUGUUUCGCUGACGAGUGGCGGACGGGUGAGUAAUGUCUGGGAAACUGCCUGAUGGAGGGGGAUAACUACUGGAAACGGUAGCUAAUACCGCAUAAAGUCGCAAGACCAAAGAGGGGGAACUUCGGGCCUCUUGCCAUCAGAUGUGCCCGGAUGGGAUUAGCUAGUAGGUGGGGUAACGGCUCACCAAGGAGACGAUCCCUAGCUGAUCUGAGAGGGUGAACGGCCAAACUGGAACUGAGACACGGUCCAGACUCCUAAGGGAGGCAGCAGUAGGGAAUCUUCAGAAAUGGGCGAAAGCCUGACGGAGCAACGACGCGUGAGUGAUGAAGGUCUUCGGAUCGUAAAACUCUGUUAUUAGGGAAGAACAAAUGUGUAAGUAACUAUGCACGUCUUGACGGCACCUAAUCAGAAAGCCACGGCUAACUACGUG
rnacentral:rRNA from 1 species